rnacentral:rRNA from 1 species
ACUAAAACUCUAGCCCACCCCACCCUUAAGAAACUGUAACAUUUUAAUUUUUCUGAAUUAAAACAUUCUAAUAGUCUAGUAAAGGCGAUCAAAAAACUAACAGGAGCUAUAUAUAAAGUACCGCAAGGGAAAGAUGAAAUAAAAUGAAACACUUUAAGUGCUAAAAAGUAGAGAUUAACCCUCGUACCUUUUGCAUCAUGGUUUAACUAGUCCAACCAAGCAAAAAGACUUUAAGUUUGACCCCCCGAAACUAAGUGAGCUACUUCAAGGCAGCUUAACGAGCCAACCCGUCUCUGUCGCAAAAGAGUGGGAAGACCUUCAAGUAGAGGUGAUAAACCUAACGAACUUAGUGAUAGCUGGUUACUCAAGAAAAAGAUUCAGUCUAACCCAAAGUUAACCCUAUACAGAAAAUAAAAAUUUAACUUUGGGGUCAUUCAAAUAAGGUACAGCCUAUUUGAAACAGGAUACAACCUCGACUAACGGGUAAACUAAUGGCUAUCCCUGAUCAAGUAGGCUUAAGAGCAGCCAUCUUUAAAAUAGCGUCUAAGCUUAAUUAUUUAACCAUUUAAUUUCCUUAAUUUUCACCAACCCUUUGUUCGUACUGAGUAAUUCUAUGCAUUCAUAGAACUUUUUAUGUUAGAACUAGUAACAAGAAGAAGACCUUCUCUAAAAUGCAAGUGUAAAUCAUAAAGGACCCUCCACUGAUAAUUAACAUAUCUGAAUAAAUAGUAGUAACCCAACAAGAAAAUUCUACUAAUCUUUAUGUUAAUCUAACACAAGAGCAUUUCAAGAAAGAUUUAAAGAAAAAGAAGGAACUCGGCAAACAUUAACCUCGCCUGUUUACCAAAAACAUCGCCUCUUGUAAAAACAUAAGAGGUCCAGCCUGCCCAGUGACUCUGUUCAACGGCCGCGGUAUCCUAACCGUGCGAAGGUAGCGUAAUCACUUGUUCUUUAAAUGAGGACUAGUAUGAACGGCACCACGAAGGUUACACUGUCUCCUUUUUCUAAUCAGUGAAACUAAUCUCCCCGUGAAGAAGCGAGGAUUAGUCUAUAAGACGAGAAGACCCUAUGGAGCUUUAAACAAGAUAACAAUUGCUUCCCCCACAUUUAUUUUCAGAAAAUCAAAUUUUCAUCUUAGCAUUCUGAUUAUCAGUUUUAGGUUGGGGUGACCGUGGAGUAAAAAUCAACCUCCACAUUGACACGGAAUUAAACCCUAAGCAAAGAGCCACAACUUCAUGCAUCAAUAAACUGACAUUAAUUGACCCAAUAUUUUUGAUCAACGAACCAAGUUACCCUAGGGAUAACAGCGCAAUCCUCUUCAAGAGCUCCUAUCGACAAGGGGGUUUACGACCUCGAUGUUGGAUCAGGGUAUCCUAGUGGUGCAGCCGCUACUGAAGGUUCGUUUGUUCAACGAUUAAAACCCU